rnacentral:rRNA from 1 species
AGAGUUUGAUCCUGGCUCAGAACGAACGCUGGCGGCGUGCCUAACACAUGCAAGUCGAGCGCGAAGGCUCCUUCGGGAGCCGGAGAGCGGCAGACGGGUGAGUAACACGUGGGCAACCUGUCCCUGAGUGGGGGAUAACCACUCGAAAGGGUGGCUAAUACCGCAUAAGACCACGGCCUUUUGGGGCGGAGGUCAAAGGCGCAAGCCGCUUGGGGAGGGGCCCGCGGCCGAUUAGCUAGUUGGUAGGGUAACGGCCUACCAAGGCGACGAUCGGUAGCUGGUCUGAGAGGAUGAUCAGCCACACUGGUACUGAGACACGGACCAGACUCCUACGGGAGGCAGCAGUGGGGAAUAUUGCGCAAUGGGCGAAAGCCUGACGCAGCAACGCCGCGUGGGUGAUGAAGGCCUUCGGGUCGUAAAGCCCUGUCAGGUGGGACGAAGCAAGUGACGGUACCACCGAAGGAAGCACCGGCUAACUCCGUGCCAGCAGCCGCGGUAAUACGGAGGGUGCAAGCGUUGUUCGGAAUCACUGGGCGUAAAGGGCGCGUAGGCGGCCGCACAAGUCCGAUGUGAAAGCCCGGGGCUCAACCCCGGAAGUGCAUUGGAAACUGUGCGGCUUGAGUUCGGGAGAGGAAGGCAGAAUUCCCGGUGUAGGGUUGAAAUCCGUAGAUAUCGGGAGGAAAACCGGUGGCGAAGGCGGCCUUCUGGAACGAAACUGACGCUGAGGCGCGAAAGCGUGGGGAGCAAACAGGAUUAGAUACCCUGGUAGUCC